GGAGAGCUGUCCGAGUGGCUGAAGGAGCCUGACUCGAAAUCAGGUGUACCGAAAGGUAUCGGGGGUUCGAAUCCCUCGCUCUCCG
rnacentral:tRNA from 2 species